AAUCCCGACAUGAAAAUUACACAAUCUUUCAGCGACGCGAAAUAUCACUGUAAAGCCUGGCGUGUGGCCACCAGUAUUGCACUGUUCCAAAUGUCAACUCCCCUACAGCUAUUUGGCAAGUGGUGAAUGUGAGGGAGGAACGAGAUGUGGGGGGGGGGGGCGUGUGGGGAGGGGGGGGGGCGUGUGUGUGAGGGGGGGGGACUGUGGGGGGGUGACGGACAUCGUUCAACAUUUGCUACAUCUGCUCUGGGUCGCCCAAGGUACGACUCACAAAAAUACCACGAGAAAUGAACGGGGAGAAUGACAAAAUAGAGAGGGGGGGGGGGGGGGGGUGGAUCAUCCUGGAGAU